UACAUUUGCGCCAGUUAUGGUUCCGGUCCCCACUUAAACGGGGAUUUGGAUUAAAAGGGAACCCGGUGUAACUCCGGGGCUGUCCCGCAGCUGUAAGUUUCGUGGAUCUGUCAGCAUCCACAAGUGUUCAAUCUACAACCACUGUCCCCAUUGGAAGGGCGGGAAGGUGUUGAACAAAUGAAACGAGCCAGAAGACCUGCCAUAGCCAACUUAUUUAU
rnacentral:ncRNA from 2 species